CGUGCUUUCUCGGUGACAUUCC
rnacentral:miRNA from 1 species